UACGGAGGGUGCGAGCGUUGUCCGGAAUCAUUGGGCGUAAAGGGCGCGUAGGUGGCCCGGUCAGUUCGUGGUGAAAGCGCGGGGCUCAACCCUGCGUCGGCCAUGAAUACUGCCGCGGCUGGAGCACUGUAGAGGCAGGCGGAAUUCCAGGUGUAGCGGUGGAAUGCGUAGAGAUCCGGAAGAACACCGGUGGCGAAGGCGGCCUGCUGGGCAGUUGCUGACACUGAGGUGCGAAAGCGUGGGGAGCAACAGGAUUAGA
rnacentral:rRNA from 1 species